CUUCAGGCCAAGUACUAUCAAUCUUUGGCUUAGAGCUACCACUUGCCAUCUCCUAGUUUGGAUCUGGAACAUCUUCCCAAAAGCUCAUAUUUUGAAUGAAUGAUCUCCAUUGCAUGAAGGUUCAAAGCUGGAGGUUCUGAGCAAUGACUAUGGCUCUGACCUUAUCAGUGGAUUCAUAUAUUUGCUGUAUUAAUUCACAAGAGCUGAAGGGACUGUUGGCUGGUAAAUGUUGGCAGUUAAACUGGAGGAAGUGUGCCACCGUGUUCAGGGGUGGGGUGGCCUGACCUUGGAGUAUUGCUGUCCCAGGCCCCUUCUCUCUCCCUCUGCUUCCUGGUUGCUAUAAGGUACAAAACUCAACUCAAAGUGGAUUAAGAUCCUAGGAAUUAAACCAGAGACCCUGCACCUUAUAGAAGAAAAACUAGGCCCAAAUCUUCACCAUGUUGGCUUAGGACCUGACUUCCUUAAUCAGACUCCUAAAGUGGCUACCAGUCAAACCCAGAGGCCUGCACAUGCUAAGAAUGCUG